rnacentral:rRNA from 1 species
UACAGAGGUCUCAAGCGUUUGUUCGGAUUCAUUGGGCGUAAAGGGUGCGUAGGUGGCGCUGUAAGUCAGGUGUGAAAUUUCGGAGCUUAACUCCGAAACUGCAUUUGAUACUGCGGUGCUUGAGGACUGGAGAGGAGACUGGAAUUUACGGUGUAGCAGUGAAAUGCGUAGAGAUCGUAAGGAAGACCAGUGGCGAAGGCGGGUCUCUGGACAGUUCCUGACACUGAGGCAACGAAGGCCCAGGGGAGCAAACGGG